UGAAGGUUGGGUAACACUAACUGGAGGACCGAACCGACUAAUGUUGAAAAAUUAGCGGAUGACCUGUGGCUGGGGGUGAAAGGCCAAUCAAACCGGGAGAUAGCUGGUUCUCCCCGAAAGCUAUUUAGGUAGCGCCUCGUGAAUUCAUCUCCGGGGGUAGAGCACUGUUUCGGCUAGGGGGCCAUCCCGGCUUACCAACCCGAUGCAAACUGCGAAUACCGGAGAAUGUUAUCACGGGAGACACACGGCGGGUGCUAACGUCCGUCGUGAAGAGGGAAACAACCCAGACCGCCAGCUAAGGUCCCAAAGUCAUGGUUAAGUGGGAAACGAUGUGGGAAGGCCCAGACAGCCAGGAUGUUGGCUUAGAAGCAGCCAUCAUUUAAAGAAAGCGUAAUAGCUCACUGGUCGAGUCGGCCUGCGCGGAAGAUGUAACGGGGCUAAACCAUGCACCGAAGCUGCGGCAGCGACACUAUGUGUUGUUGGGUAGGGGAGCGUUCUGUAAGCCUGCGAAGGUGGCCUGUGAGGGUUGCUGGAGGUAUCAGAAGUGCGAAUGCUGACAUAAGUAACGAUAAAGCGGGUGAAAAGCCCGCUCGCCGGAAGACCAAGGGUUCCUGUCCAACGUUAAUCGGGGCAGGGUGAGUCGACCCCUAAGGCGAGGCCGAAAGGCGUAGUCGAUGGGAAACGGGUUAAUAUUCCCGUACUUGGUGUUACUGCGAAGGGGGGACGGAGAAGGCUAUGUUGGCCGGGCGACGGUUGUCCCGGUUUAAGCGUGUAGGUGUGUGUUCCAGGUAAAUCCGGUU
rnacentral:rRNA from 1 species